rnacentral:rRNA from 1 species
CACGUAGGGCGCAAGCGUUGUCCGGAAUUAUUGGGCGUAAAGAGCUCGUAGGUGGUUUGUUACGUCUGCUGUGAAAACCUAGGGCUUAACCCUGGGCUUGCAGUGGAUACGGGCAGACUAGAGGUAGGUAGGGGAGAAUGGAAUUCCUGGUGUAGCGGUGAAAUGCGUAGAUAUCGGGAGGAACACCAGUGGCGAAGGCGACUACCUGGCCUGUUCUUGACGCUGAGGCGCGAAAGCUAGGGGAGCAAACGGG